GAUGAACGCUGGCGGCGUGCCUAAUACAUGCAAGUCCAGCGAACAGACGAGGAGCUUGCUCCUCUGACGUUAGCGGCGGACGGGUGAGUAACACGUGGAUAACCUACCUAUAAGACUGGGAUAACUUCGGGAAACCGGAGCUAAUACCGGAUAAUAUAUUGAACCGCAUGGUUCAAUAGUGAAAGACGGUUUUGCUGUCACUUAUAGAUGGAUCCGCGCCGCAUUAGCUAGUUGGUAAGGUAACGUCUUACCAAGGCAACGAUGCGUAGCCGACCUGAGAGGGUGAUCGGCCACACUGGAACUGAGACACGGUCCAGACUCCUACGGGAGGCAGCAGUAGGGAAUCUUCCGCAAUGGGCGAAAGCCUGACGGAGCAACGCCGCGUGAGUGAUGAAGGUCUUCGGAUCGUAAAACUCUGUUAUUAGGGAAGAACAAAUGUGUAAGUAACUAUGCACGUCUUGACGGUACCUAAUCAGAAAGCCACGGCUAACUACGUG
rnacentral:rRNA from 1 species